UAUGUCAGUUGUGUCGGGGGGAGGAAUUGACUCGACUUUUUAAAUACAAGUCAGUCUUUUUCUCUCUCCUAUAUGACUGGCAUA
rnacentral:pre_miRNA from 1 species